rnacentral:rRNA from 1 species
UACGUAGGGUGCGAGCGUUAAUCGGAAUUACUGGGCGUAAAGCGUGCGCAGGCGGUUUUGCAAGUCCGAUGUGAAAUCCCCGGGCUUAACCUGGGAAUGGCAUUGGUGACUGCACGGCUAGAGUGUGUCAGAGGGGGGUAGAAUUCCACGUGUAGCAGUGAAAUGCGUAGAGAUGUGGAGGAAUACCGAUGGCGAAGGCAGCCCCCUGGGAUAACACUGACGCUCAUGCACGAAAGCGUGGGGAGCAAACAGG